rnacentral:rRNA from 1 species
GACGAACGCUGGCAGCGUGCUUAACACAUGCAAGUCGAGCGGAAAGGCCUUGCUUUUGUGGGGUGCUCGAGUGGCGAACGGGUGAGUAACACGUGAGUAACCUGCCCUUGACUUUGGGAUAACUUCAGGAAACUGGGGCUAAUACCGGAUAGGAGCUCCUGCUGCAUGGUGGGGGUUGGAAAGUUUCGGCGGUUGGGGAUGGACUCGCGGCUUAUCAGCUUGUUGGUGGGGUAGUGGCUUACCAAGGCUUUGACGGGUAGCCGGCCUGAGAGGGUGACCGGCCACAUUGGGACUGAGAUACGGCCCAGACUCCUACGGGAGGCAGCAGUGGGGAAUAUUGCACAAUGGGCGGAAGCCUGAUGCAGCAACGCCGCGUGCGGGAUGACGGCCUUCGGGUUGUAAACCGCUUUCGCCUGUGACGAAGCGUGAGUGACGGUAAUGGGUAAAGAAGCACCGGCUAACUACGUG